GAUUAAGUUAUUAAGGGCGCACGGUGGAUGCCUUGGCACUAGAAGCCGAUGAAGGACGUUACUAACGACGAUAUGCUUUGGGGAGCUGUAAGUAAGCUUUGAUCCAGAGAUUUCCGAAUGGGGAAACCCAGCAUGAGUUAUGUCAUGUUAUCGAUAUGUGAAUACAUAGCAUAUCAGAAGGCACACCCGGAGAACUGAAACAUCUUAGUACCCGGAGGAAGAGAAAGAAAAUUCGAUUCCCUUAGUAGCGGCGAGCGAAACGGGAAGAGCCCAAACCAACAAGCUUGCUUGUUGGGGUUGUAGGACACUCUAUACGGAGUUACAAAGGACGACAUUAGACGAAUCAUCUGGAAAGAUGAAUCAAAGAAGGUAAUAAUCCUGUAGUCGAAAAUGUUGUCUCUCUUGAGUGGAUCCUGAGUACGACGGAGCACGUGAAAUUCCGUCGGAAUCUGGGAGGACCAUCUCCUAAGGCUAAAUACUCUCUAGUGACCGAUAGUGAACCAGUACCGUGAGGGAAAGGUGAAAAGCACCCCGGAAGGGGAGUGAAAUAGAACCUGAAACCGUGUGCUUACAAGUAGUCAGAGCCCGUUAAUGGGUGAUGGCGUGCCUUUUGUAGAAUGAACCGGCGAGUUACGAUUUGAUGCAAGGUUAAGCAGUAAAUGUGGAGCCGUAGCGAAAGCGAGUCUGAAUAGGGCGUUUAGUAUUUGGUCGUAGACCCGAAACCAGGUGAUCUACCCUUGGUCAGGUUGAAGUUCAGGUAACACUGAAUGGAGGACCGAACCGACUUACGUUGAAAAGUGAGCGGAUGAACUGAGGGUAGCGGAGAAAUUCCAAUCGAACCUGGAGAUAGCUGGUUCUCUCCGAAAUAGCUUUAGGGCUAGCCUCAAGUGAUGAUUAUUGGAGGUAGAGCACUGUUUGGACGAGGGGCCCCUCUCGGGUUACCGAAUUCAGACAAACUCCGAAUGCCAAUUAAUUUAACUUGGGAGUCAGAACAUGGGUGAUAAGGUCCGUGUUCGAAAGGGAAACAGCCCAGACCACCAGCUAAGGUCCCAAAAUAUAUGUUAAGUGGAAAAGGAUGUGGCGUUGCCCAGACAACUAGGAUGUUGGCUUAGAAGCAGCCAUCAUUUAAAGAGUGCGUAAUAGCUCACUAGUCGAGUGACACUGCGCCGAAAAUGUACCGGGGCUAAACAUAUUACCGAAGCUGUGGAUUGUCCUUUGGACAAUGGUAGGAGAGCGUUCUAAGGGCGUUGAAGCAUGAUCGUAAGGACAUGUGGAGCGCUUAGAAGUGAGAAUGCCGGUGUGAGUAGCGAAAGACGGGUGAGAAUCCCGUCCACCGAUUGACUAAGGUUUCCAGAGGAAGGCUCGUCCGCUCUGGGUUAGUCGGGUCCUAAGCUGAGGCCGACAGGCGUAGGCGAUGGAUAACAGGUUGAUAUUCCUGUACCACCUAUAAUCGUUUUAAUCGAUGGGGGGACGCAGUAGGAUAGGCGAAGCGUGCGAUUGGAUUGCACGUCUAAGCAGUAAGGCUGAGUAUUAGGCAAAUCCGGUACUCGUUAAGGCUGAGCUGUGAUGGGGAGAAGACAUUGUGUCUUCGAGUCGUUGAUUUCACACUGCCGAGAAAAGCCUCUAGAUAGAAAAUAGGUGCCCGUACCGCAAACCGACACAGGUAGUCAAGAUGAGAAUUCUAAGGUGAGCGAGCGAACUCUCGUUAAGGAACUCGGCAAAAUGACCCCGUAACUUCGGGAGAAGGGGUGCUCUUUAGGGUUAACGCCCAGAAGAGCCGCAGUGAAUAGGCCCAAGCGACUGUUUAUCAAAAACACAGGUCUCUGCUAAACCGUAAGGUGAUGUAUAGGGGCUGACGCCUGCCCGGUGCUGGAAGGUUAAGAGGAGUGGUUAGCUUCUGCGAAGCUACGAAUCGAAGCCCCAGUAAACGGCGGCCGUAACUAUAACGGUCCUAAGGUAGCGAAAUUCCUUGUCGGGUAAGUUCCGACCCGCACGAAAGGCGUAACGAUUUGGGCACUGUCUCAACGAGAGACUCGGUGAAAUCAUAGUACCUGUGAAGAUGCAGGUUACCCGCGACAGGACGGAAAGACCCCGUGGAGCUUUACUGUAGCCUGAUAUUGAAAUUCGGCACAGCUUGUACAGGAUAGGUAGGAGCCUUUGAAACGUGAGCGCUAGCUUACGUGGAGGCGCUGGUGGGAUACUACCUUAGCUGUGUUGGCUUUCUAACCCGCACCACUUAUCGUGGUGGGAGACAGUGUCAGGCGGGCAGUUUGACUGGGGCGGUCGCCUCCUAAAAGGUAACGGAGGCGCUCAAAGGUUCCCUCAGAAUGGUUGGAAAUCAUUCAUAGAGUGUAAAGGCAUAAGGGAGCUUGACUGCGAGACCUACAAGUCGAGCAGGGUCGAAAGACGGACUUAGUGAUCCGGUGGUUCCGCAUGGAAGGGCCAUCGCUCAACGGAUAAAAGCUACCCCGGGGAUAACAGGCUUAUCUCCCCCAAGAGUUCACAUCGACGGGGAGGUUUGGCACCUCGAUGUCGGCUCAUCGCAUCCUGGGGCUGUAGUCGGUCCCAAGGGUUGGGCUGUUCGCCCAUUAAAGCGGUACGCGAGCUGGGUUCAGAACGUCGUGAGACAGUUCGGUCCCUAUCCGUCGUGGGCGUAGGAAAUUUGAGAGGAGCUGUCCUUAGUACGAGAGGACCGGGAUGGACAUACCUCUGGUGUACCAGUUGUCGUGCCAACGGCAUAGCUGGGUAGCUAUGUGUGGACGGGAUAAGUGCUGAAAGCAUCUAAGCAUGAAGCCCCCCUCAAGAUGAGAUUUCCCAACUUCGGUUAUAAGAUCCCUCAAAGAUGAUGAGGUUAAUAGGUUCGAGGUGGAAGCAUGGUGACAUGUGGAGCUGACGAAUACUAAUCGAUCGAAGACUUAAUCAA
rnacentral:rRNA from 1 species